rnacentral:tRNA from 1 species
GCCGGGGUGGCGGAACUGGUAGACGCGGCGGAUUCAAAAUCCGUUGGUGGUGACAUCAUGAGAGUUCGAGUCUCUCCCUCGGUACCA